rnacentral:rRNA from 1 species
CAAGCCUGAUCCAGCCACGCCGCGUGAGUGAAGAAGGCCUUCGGGUUGUAAAGCUCUUUCAGUUGAGAAGAAAAGAUUGUAACUAAUAAUUACGAUCCGUGACGGUAUCAACAGAAGAAGCACCGGCUAACUACGUG